UACGAAGGGGGCUAGCGUUGUUCGGAAUUACUGGGCGUAAAGCGCACGUAGGCGGACAUUUAAGUCAGGGGUGAAAUCCCGCAGCUCAACUGCGGAACUGCCUUUGAUACUGGGUGUCUAGAGUAUGGAAGAGGUAAGUGGAAUUGCGAGUGUAGAGGUGAAAUUCGUAGAUAUUCGCAGGAACACCAGUGGCGAAGGCGGCUUACUGGUCCAUUACUGACGCUGAGGUGCGAAAGCGUGGGGAGCAAAC
rnacentral:rRNA from 1 species